rnacentral:rRNA from 1 species
UACGAAGGGGGCUAGCGUUGCUCGGAAUCACUGGGCGUAAAGCGCACGUAGGCGGAUUGUUAAGUCAGGGGUGAAAUCCUGGAGCUCAACUCCAGAACUGCCUUUGAUACUGGCGAUCUUGAGUCCGGAAGAGGUGAGUGGAACUCCUAGUGUAGAGGUGGAAUUCGUAGAUAUUAGGAAGAACACCAGUGGCGAAGGCGGCUCGACUGGUCCG